AUUGAACGCUGGCGGCAGGCUUAACACAUGCAAGUCGAGCGGAGAUGAGGUGCUUGCACCUUAUCUUAGCGGCGGACGGGUGAGUAAUGCUUAGGAAUCUGCCUAUUAGUGGGGGACAACAUUCCGAAAGGAAUGCUAAUACCGCAUACGUCCUACGGGAGAAAGCAGGGGAUCUUCGGACCUUGCGCUAAUAGAUGAGCCUAAGUCGGAUUAGCUAGUUGGUGGGGUAAAGGCCUACCAAGGCGACGAUCUGUAGCGGGUCUGAGAGGAUGAUCCGCCACACGGGGACUGAGACACGGACCAGACUCCUACGGGAGGCAGCAGUGGGGAAUAUUGGACAAUGGGGGAAACCCUGAUCCAGCCAUGCCGCGUGUGUGAAGAAGGCCUUAUGGUUGUAAAGCACUUUAAGCGAGGAGGAGGCUACUGAGACUAAUACUCUUGGAUAGUGGACGUUACUCGCAGAAUAAGCACCGGCUAACUCUGUGCCAGCCGCCGCAGUAA
rnacentral:rRNA from 1 species